UCCCUCUCAGGGUUACCCCUGGAGAGUUCUCAGUACUCUACCAGUCUCAACUACAGGAGGGAGAGUCACACAGAGGCAUAUCCAUUUCAUUCCUAACCUGGGCAGUGGCUAGCGAUUGGAAAGCAAUCUGCUACAAGU